rnacentral:misc_RNA from 1 species
UCCGAUUUGAAUAUCGGCAGUCUCGCUAGAGUGCCCGGCCGAACCGCUGGCAACUAACGACAAGGGUUGCGCUCGCUGCGGGACUUAACCCAACAUCUCACGACACGAGCUGACGACAGCCAUGCACCACCUGUGCACAGGCCCCGAAGGGCUGCCGUAUUUCUACGACAUUCCUGUGCAUGUCAAGCCUAGGUAAGGUUCUUCGCGUUGCGUCGAAUUGAACCACAUGCUCCGCUGCUUGUGCGGGUCCCCGUCAAUUCCUUUGAGUUUUAACCUUGCGACCGUACUCCCCAGGCGGCACGUUUAACGCGUUAGCUUCGCCACAAAAGGGGUCGAUUCCUCUUACAGCAAACGUGCACCGUUUACAGCUAGGACUAC